UCCUAGCCACGAUUGCAACGGCAUCCUUUUGUGAAGCAAAGCGUAGCAAAAGAUAUAGUGGAAAGCGGGAAAUAGC
rnacentral:sRNA from 1 species